CAAGUGCAUUUCUUAAUUUAUUUUAAACACACAUUUUCAGUAAUAGUUAGGUCUCCUAUACAGCUUCCUCCUAGUGGUGGGACGUGGUAAUCAGUGUUGCUUGAAGUGUAAUUUAAAAAACAAAACAAGCACUACUGAAAGCUAAUGGCCGCUCGCUCUGGUACAUCUCAGGGUUUAAUUAACUUUUAAUUACUUCAUUUGCACGCAAUUAAGUGCCAAUUAUGAUCAAUGUGAUCGAAUGAUAUAUUCUUUCAUGUGUUUAAUGUCUUUUAGUAAUAAUUUACAAGAACGUGAUGUAGUUUAUCAAUGUAUUUUUUGUUUUAUAAUUUUUUAUACGUUCUAGUUUUUCACAAUUUUUGUCAUUCGUGACUGCGUCCAGAGCAAUCGUAGCAUCGGUGUGUGCUCAUAAUGCAUUUAUUACUCUUUUUUUGUAGCUAAAUAAGUCGAUUAAGUCAAAUUAGAGUUAAUCGAAAUUUGGGAAGUAGACUCACGUUUGUGUUCAUGGAUUAUUCAUCAUCAUCUUGAACCAAUCAUCAUCUGGCAAGGAUCAUUGGUGGCUCUACUUGAAUGAAAGAAGAAUCAUUUUUAUUUGUCCUUGGGCAGGAUGCUCAUCAGGCAAAGUUCAACAAAGACAUUAAACUAUUAUUGCAAUCGUCCCUGAAGCAAUGAAUUAAUCAA